AUUGAACGCUGGCGGCAGGCCUAACACAUGCAAGUCGAACGGUAGCACAGAGAGCUUGCUCUCGGGUGACGAGUGGCGGACGGGUGAGUAACGUCUGGGAAACUGCCCGAUGGAGGGGGAUAACUACUGGAAACGGUAGCUAAUACCGCAUAACGUCGCAAGACCAAAGGGGGGGACCUUCGGGCCUCACACCAUCGGAUGUGCCCAGAUGGGAUUAGCUAGUAGGUGGGGUAAUGGCUCACCUAGGCGACGAUCCCUAGCCGGUCUGAGAGGAUGACCAGCCACACUGGAACUGAGACACGGUCCAGACUCCUACGGGAGGCAGCAGUGGGGAAUAUUGCACAAUGGGCGCAAGCCUGAUGCAGCCAUGCCGCGUGUAUGAAGAAGGCCUUCGGGUUGUAAAGUACUUUCAGCGGGGAGGAAGGCGGUGAAGUUAAUAACUUCACCGAUUGACGUUACCCGCAGAAGAAGCACCGGCUAACUCCGUGCCAGCCGCCGCUGUAA
rnacentral:rRNA from 1 species